rnacentral:rRNA from 1 species
AGUGAACGCUGGCGGUAGGCCUAACACAUGCAAGUCGAACGGCAGCACAGUAAGAGCUUGCUCUUACGGGUGGCGAGUGGCGGACGGGUGAAGAAUACAUCGGAAUCUACUUUUUCGUGGGGGAUAACGUAGGGAAACUUACGCUAAUACCGCAUACGACCUACGGGUGAAAGCAGGGGAUCUUCGGACCUUGCGCGAUUGAAUGAGCCGAUGUCGGAUUAGCUAGUUGGCGGGGUAAAGGCCCACCAAGGCGACGAUCCGUAGCUGGUCUGAGAGGAUGAUCAGCCACACUGGAACUGAGACACGGUCCAGACUCCUACGGGAGGCAGCAGUGGGGAAUAUUGGACAAUGGGCGCAAGCCUGAGCCAGCAAUACCGCGUGGGUGAAGAAGGCCUUCGGGUUGUAAAGCCCUUUUGUUGGGAAAGAAAAGCAGCAGGUUAAGACCCCGCUGUUCUGACGGUACCAAAAGAAUAAGCACCGGCUAACUUCGU